rnacentral:lncRNA from 1 species
UACAACUAUCGGGGGAUGGAGAUAGACCUCCAAGCACAUGAACUCGAUCUACUGGACGGACUAAGAGGGAAUCGACGGGAAGCAAGCAUGGGAGCACUCAAGCAAAUGCACCUUACAACACUUCGAAGACUAAUGCAAGGUUAAGGUAACUCACUAAAGGGGCUAAGGAAAUGAUCCUAGACAAGGAAGAAGAUAACCUUGAUCGGACCUUAGUCUGGAUUCGAAAACAAAGAAGAAACAGCUUUGACAUUGGCAAAUCNNN